AAGAGACUUAUCCAACCAUGGCUUUACUUUAGGAUGAUCUGGCUUGGCUACUUAGUUGUGGAGCCUAGAAGCCCACUACCUCCCGACCUCUCAGUUUCAGUUGGUCACACUGUGCGCGGAAGGAUCUUCUUACCUCCUGGUUGAGCAUGAGUCUGUCAACUACUAUUUUGAAAGCUGAAACAGAUCUGAUGAAACUGCAACCUGAGCUGCCAAGAACAAGCUGGCUCCUGCCUCUCACCCUGUUUCCCUAGGCAUCCAAGCCUCCUUCUGUGGCAUCCCAUUCGGCAUCUAAUACAGACACGGUGACUGACUGGAAAUUACUACUCAAGAUUUGUCAGCUGACUGGUAGAAUACUUGGAAGCUCAACCAUGCGCCUGGUAAAAGCUAAACCCAGGAAAUAACAUGGCCUCAAGCUGAAGGGGAAAUGCCUGACAAUGUCCACUGGGAAAAGGAAAAAAACAAGUGAGACUCAAGUUGUGAUCCUGCUUCCCAGGUCUUUCCUGCCCACCUCUUCCUUUCUUUUGGGGGUACACUUUCACUGGCAAGGAGAAUAAAAAGCUGUUACAAACAGAAACUUGUAAAGUGAUGAAGAAUUGAGCCAGUGGGCACAGAAAUAAAUGCUAUAACUGUAAAAUGGUGGAUGGGAAAAUGUGUGCAGACAGGCCGUGAAUGAAAAGAGGCACUGUGCAUGUCACUACCUUGGACAGGAGUUUUUAAAAAGUCUUACCAUCUCACUUUUCCCUUGCCUUAUUUUUCUGGGUAGAUUUGACAGCUCAGAAUUCCUGAGUGACUCUCCUUUCUUAUUUCACAUCUUUUUGGUUCAUUUUUCUUCUUUUCACAAUUUGAAAGCCCUCAUCCCAAGCUUUAGAAAGGAGGGAGGGGAAAGCCACCACAGGCCUGGGCUUUACCCAUGACUUUCUAUGACUUAGAAGACUCUCACAUUCUCUGCAUCUGUGGGUUUCAUCAGUCAAGUGUGCAUAGACAAUGCCCCUUCCAACCAUGAAACAGGAAGGUGCAAAUAGCAAGCAG
ensembl:lncRNA